CCUACGGGUGGCAGCAGUGGGGAAUAUUGCACAAUGGGCGAAACCCUGAUGCAGCGACGCCGCGUGAGUGAAGAAGUUAUUCGUUAUGUAAAGCUCUAUCAGCAGGGAAGAAAAUGACGGUACCUAAGUAAGAAGCCCCGGCUAACUCCGUGCCAGCAGCCGCGGUAAUACGUAGGGGGCACGCGUUCGCCGGAUUUACUGGGUGUAAAGGGAGCGUAGACGGCAGUGCAAGUCUGGAGUGAAAGGCGGGGGCUCAACCCCCGGACUGCUCUGGAAACUGGACGGCUAGAGUGCAGGAGAGGGAAGUGGAAUUCCUAGUGUAGCGGUGAAAUGCGUAGAUAUUAGGAGGAACACCAGUGGCGAAGGCGGCCUACUGGACUGUAACUGACGCUGAGGUUCGAAAGCGUGGGGAGCAAACAGGAUUAGAUACCCGUGUAGUC
rnacentral:rRNA from 1 species